CCUACGGGAGGCAGCAGUGGGGAAUAUUGCACAAUGGGGGAAACCCUGAUGCAGCGACGCCGCAUGAGUGAAGAAGUAAUUCGUUAUGUAAAGCUCUAUCAGCAGGGAAGAAAAUGACGGUACCUGAGUAAGAAGCCACGGGCAACUACGUGCCAGCAGCCGCGGGCAUACGUAGGGGGCAAGCGUUAUCCGGAUUUACUGGGUGUAAAGGGGGCGUAGACGGGACUGCAAGUCUGGAGUGAAAGGCGGGGGCUCAACCCCCGGACUGCUCUGGAAACUGGACGGCUGGAGUGCAGGAGAGGUAAGUGGAAUUCCUAGUGUAGCGGUGAAAUGCGUAGAUAUUAGGAGGAACACCAGUGGCGAAGGCGGCUUACUGGACUGUAACUGACGUUGAGGCUCGAAAGCGUGGGGAGCAAACAGGAUUAGAUACCCGAGUAGUC
rnacentral:rRNA from 1 species